GAAGAUAGGAGUGUUUCAAGAGUACCUGCUCAGCAUUCUGGAGCAGAAGAGACAGAAGGUGGAAAUCAAGGUUCAGCUGGGAACGAAGAGAAUAUGGCACUACGUCCAACCGGCCUCACAACUGCAGACCACGUGUAACCACGCCAGCUCAGGACCUCCACAUCUGGCUUCUUCACUUGCGGGAUGGUCUGAAAUGAGCUAGCCGGACAGCUGAUAAAACUGUGGGUUUGCACAACCGAAGUCUUUCAGCACAAACUGUCAGAAACCGUCUUAGGGAAGCUCAUCUGUGUGCUUGUUGUCCUCACCAGGGUCUUGACCUGACUACAGUUUAGCGUCGUAAUCAAUAAAAGUGUGCAAAUGCUCACCUUCGAUGGCCACUAGCAAAGGAGAUUUGUGACGCUGCAAUAGGCAAAUGGUGGUCACACCAGAUACUGACUGGUUUUCUGAUCCACACCCCUACCUUUUUUUAAGGUAUCUUUAACCAUCAAAUACAUCAAAUAAAAUUGUAUUAGUCACAUGUGCCAAAUACAACAGGUGUAGACCUUACAGUGAAAUGCUUACUUAUGAGCCACUAACCAACAAUGCAGUUUCAAAAAAAUACAGAUAAGAAUAAGAGAUAAAAGUAACAAGUAAUUAAAGAGCAGCAGUAAAAUAACAAUAGCAAGACUAUAUACAGGGGGUACCGAUACAGAGUCAAUGUGCGGGGGCACCGGUUAGUUGAGGUAGUAUGUACAUGUAGGUAGAGUUAUUAAAGUGACUAUGCAUAGAUGACAACAGAGAGUAGCAGUGGUGUAAAGAGGGGGAGGGGGCAAUGCAAAUAGUCUGGGUAGCCAUUUGACUAGAUCAAUCAAUCAAUCACAUUUAUUUAUAAAGCCCUUUUUACAUCAGCUGAUGUCACAAAGUGCUGAACAGAAACCCAGCCUAAAACCCCAAACAGCAAGCAAUGCAGAUAUAGAAGCAACCCUGAACUAGAUGUUCUGGAGUCUUAUGGCUUGGGGGUAGAAGCUGUUUAGAAACCUCUUGGACCUAGACUUGGCGCUCCGGUACUGCUUUUCAUGCGGGAGCAGAGAGAACAAUCUAUAACUAGGGUGGCUGGAGUAUUUGACAAUUUUUAGGGCCUUCCUCUGAC
rnacentral:lncRNA from 1 species